UAAUUGCCAGUUGACAGCUUCUAAGUGAAUGGCAAUGAAGUUGUGCGAGUUUAUACUCACUUUGAUUUCAGACCUGCUUGUUUGAGCAACCCUGUGAGGUGAUUUGGGCUGAGAGAGUGACUGGCCCAAAGUCACCUAGCCAGCAUUCAUACGGUCAUGCAGAUAGAAGAAUUGGAUGUAUUCCUGUACUACAAUCUUGUGAUUAUAUGGAAAUAGAAAGAGAGAAGCACUACAUGAAGAAAAAAAGAAAGAGAAAGAGAAAGAGGAAGAGGAAGACAGGGAAGCUAAAGAUGGAUUACAAAUGGCAUGAUUUAUGUUUUACUGGAAAAAAAAUCCUUUGCAAACUGAAAACAGAACAAGAGUACAGUUGUCCUUUGCAUGUUUCCAAAAAUCUCCCAUGCCAUCUUCCAAAUAACAAAAAGAAAAAAAAAAGAAAAAAGAAAGAAAAGAAAAGAAAAAGCUGAAGUUGCAAAGCAGUUAAAGGGAGACAAGAAGUUUGGCUCAGAUUCUGUUACAGAGGAUUCCAUCUGAUGUCUAUCCGCUGGCAAAAGGAAUCAAUCAGCAGAACAAGAGGGAAAGUAAUUUGAAGCAAUUCUUCUUCACAUUCUUUUUCUUCCCUUCCUGGCACUUGCAGUUCCUUAACUUGUCCCCAAAUCAUUUUGCACCAAAUUCAGGAGGAUAUGGAAGCUGAUAAAAGACUGCAUAAUCAAAAAUACCCUUCCCCCCUUCAUGUCACUGAUGGAUACUUUCUGCGUGCAAAGUAUCACCAAUUGGAUUAACCAUCCAAGAAGUUCAUGAAGCAACUAGGUAAUGCUGAUUCAAGCAAAGGUUAUACUCAAUUUUCUAUGCAUUAUGGGAUGAAGAUGGGAGCAUUAAUGUUGGAUGUAAGCAUAGUCUCUCUCAAGACCUAUACAUUCAAGGUUACUCUGAUGGAAAUCCUAUGGAUUGCCCUUGUACUCACUAUAAAAUCUGUAUCUUUAGCACUGUGACUGUAAAGAAUAAAGCAAUAAGCCUAAAUUUAUUAUUAUGAAAUUAAACAUAAUUUAAUUCA